AUGGUUCCUGAACACGUUGAUUCCCCGAUCGUGUAAGUUUUCCCCUCUCUUAUUAUCUUCCAAUAUUGAGAUUUUUGUCCAGGUGGUGUCUGGUGAGAUUGAGAAGUUGUCACCUAUUCGUACAUUUGAUAAUUGUAAACAGCUGGAUGAACAGGCUAUUAUGCAAUUACAAGCCAUGAAAGACGUUAUAAUCAAACCCUCGGAUAAGGGGGGAAACGUACUCUUGUGACCUAUUGAAUUAUAUAAAAAAGAAGCCUCAACAUGAUAUAAAUUUCUCACAUAUAAUCCACUCAACAAAUUUUAGGGGGAAUUGUUCUUUGUUUUAUCACAGGCAACAGAUAAAGACACCAUUACCUCACAAAAACAAACAAAUUUGAUGAUUGAGAAUCCUACGAUUGCUACUUUAUAUCUACUCCCCAAAGUCCACAAACAGGCCACUAAUCCACCAGGUAGGCCAGUUGUGUCUGGGCGGAACAAUAUGUGCGAACCUAUCUAUAAACUAAUAGAUCAUGUUCUUAGACCGCUGGUUGAGAUGUUACCCUCCUACUUUAAAGACACCACAGAUGCCCUACGAAGAAUGGAACACAUUCAAUUAGACAAUGACAUGUGGAUAGUAACAAGCGACGUGGAGUUCUUGUAUACAUCAAUCCGACAUCAAGAUGGACUUCGUGCAGUUGGAGAUUUCCUUUGGAUGUCAGAAAUCGACAAAGAUAUAGGUGAGUAAAUCAUUGAACUCCUCAAUUUUGCAUUGACUUACAAUUUUUUCCUGUUUAAAGAGAUUUAUUAUUUACAAAUGCAAAGAACUGCAAUGGGCGCGGCUUUCGCACCUUCGUACGCCAAUCUCUUUUUUUAGGACAUGAGAAAGAACAAUAUUUCUAACGGACCCUCCCCAUGAUAUUGAAAAUGUACAAAUGUGUGCAAGGUAUAUUGACAAUGUCAUCUUUGUUUGGAAGGGCUCUCUGGAUGAGCUACAGACAUUCAUGACAAUUUUGAACACGAAUGAUCAGAACAUCAAACUCACCUACAAAGGAGGUAGAAAUCAUAUGGACAUUCUGGAAAUCUCCUUUGGAGUGGACCAUCAGGGGUAUGUAUAAUCAGACCUCUUUCGCAAACCUACUGCUACAAAUUCGUUAUUACAUGUCCAAUCCUCCCAUCCUCAAAAUCUGAUUAAGGGCAUUUCCAUGGGUCAAUUUCUAUGACUAAAACGUACAUGCUCGACAGAUGAGAUGUUUGAGAACUGAAUCAUUGAACUUUGGAACAGAUUCUCUGAGAGAGGCUACUAGGACAAUUGGAUUCGCCGGGCUUAUCUAAGGGCCAAACAUACCAGUAGGAGAAGUCUACUACAACCCAGAAACACGAACAACAAGGAUGAUCAGGCAUGACUACACGUGAACUCAAGAAAAGAACAAGAGAGCAUGUUCUUGGGAUCCUAUCAGUGAAAAACUAAACAGACCUUACACGUCUGACGACUGCGCCCAGACACUCCAAGAUGCACCAUGAUUGUGACCCAAAAGGCCUGAAGGUUGUCCGAAUCCAACUUCUACUUUGUCAUGAUAUAAGCCCCAAAUAUGAAUCAUUAUUUCUAAUAUAACUUGGCAAUGUAUCCACCAUUUUGUGUGAAUUUUCAAUAGGCCUAAAAUGGAGUACCAUUGAUUGAAAAUGGCCCUUUUCAAGCAUGAAAAAGGCUCUAGUGUUGAGCUGAAACGUUGCUGUUGGUAACAUGUGGUGAAUAAACUCACAGUUUCUUUUGGAUACUUCGUUGGAGUGCUGCGCCAUUUCUUUGUUGGAUAUCUUAAGGGGUCCCGAUCAGACCUAGGACGCUUGGCACCCACAUGCAUUGUUU